AGACUGUGAUGCGGGCAUUUCCUUAGUAGCUCCUUGAACCUUUCCCAUGUCUCAUACAAGGAUUCCCCGUCUUCUUGAGAGUAGGUGUUGAUCUCACUCAUGAGUUU
rnacentral:snoRNA from 2 species